GGGGAUUUAGCUCAGCGGUAGAGCGCUUACCUAGCAAGUGCAAGGCCCUGGGUUCGAUCCCCAGCUCUG
rnacentral:tRNA from 1 species